UACGGGGGGAGCAAGCGUUGUUCGGAUUUACUGGGCGUAAAGGGCGCGUAGGCGGUCACUACAAGUCAGUUGUGAAAUCUCUGGGCUUAACUCAGAACGGUCAACUGAUACUGUCGGACUAGAGUGCAGAAGGGGCAACUGGAAUUCUCGGUGUAGCGGUGAAAUGCGUAGAUAUCGAGAGGAACACCUGCGGUGAAGGCGGGUUGCUGGGCUGACACUGACGCUGAGGCGCGAAAGCUAGGGGAGCGAACGGG
rnacentral:rRNA from 1 species